UAGGUAACUUACCCUUGGGAUGGGAAUAACCUUCCGAAAGGAGGGCUAAUACCGAAUGAGACCACGGCUACUACGGUAGCUGAGGUUAAAGGUGGCCUCUAUUUAUAAGCUAUCGCCCGAGGAUGGGCUUAUGCACCAUCAGCUAGUUGGUAGGGUAACGGCCUACCAAGGCUAUGACGGUUAGCUGAUCUGAGAGGUUGAUCAGCCACACUGGAACUGAGACACGGUCCAG
rnacentral:rRNA from 1 species